rnacentral:rRNA from 1 species
UAGCAGGAAGUGCUUGCACUUUGCUGACGAGUGGCGGACGGGUGAGUAAUGCUUGGGAACUUGCCUUUAGGUGGGGGAUAACAGUUGGAAACGACUGCUAAUACCGCAUAAUGUCUACGGACCAAAGGGGGCUUCGGCUCCCGCCUUGAGAGAGGCCCAAGUGAGAUUAGCUAGUUGGUGGGGUAAAGGCCUACCAAGGCAACGAUCUCUAGCUGUUCUGAGAGGAAGAUCAGCCACACUGGGACUGAGACACGGCCCAGACUCCUACGGGAGGCAGCAGUGGGGAAUAUUGCACAAUGGGGGAAACCCUGAUGCAGCCAUGCCGCGUGUGUGAAGAAGGCCUUCGGGUUGUAAAGCACUUUCAGUUGUGAGGAAAGGUUGGUAGUUAAUACCUGCCAGCUGUGACGUUAACAACAGAAGAAGCACCGGCUAACUCCGUGCCAGCAGCCGCGGUAAUACGGAGGGUGCGAGCGUUAAUCGGAAUUACUGGGCGUAAAGCGCACGCAGGCGGCUUGUUAAGCUAGAGGUGAAAGCCCCGCGCUCAACGUGGGAACUGCCUUUAGAACUGGCAGGCUAGAGUCUUGGAGAGGGGAGUGGAAUUCCAGGUGUAGCGGUGAAAUGCGUAGAUAUCUGGAGGAACAUCAGUGGCGAAGGCGGCUCCCUGGCCAAAGACUGACGCUCAUGUGCGAAAGUGUGGGUAGCGAACAGGAUUAGAUACCCUGGUAGUCCACACCGUAAACGCUGUCUACUAGCUGUUUGUGUAUUUAAUACGUGAGUAGCGAAGCUAACGCGCUAAGUAGACCGCCUGGGGAGUACGGCCGCAAGGUUAAAACUCAAAUGAAUUGACGGGGGCCCGCACAAGCGGUGAGCAUGUGUUUAAUUCGAUGCAACGCGAAGAACCUUACCUACUCUUGACAUCCAGGAAAUUUUUCAGAGAUGAUUAGUGCCUUCGGGAAUCCUGAGACAGUGCUGCAUGCUGUCGUCAGCUCGUGUCGUAGAAUGCUGGUAAGUCCCGCACGAGCGCACCCUUGUCUUAGUGCAGCAUUAGUGGCACUCUAGGGACUGCCGUGACAUCGAGAGGUGGGAACGACGUCAAGUCAUCAUGCCUUACGAGAUGGCUCACACGUGCUACAUGGCAGUACAAGAGCAGACGGUAACUGGAAGCGAACCUUAGCUGUGCGAAUGCGGAAUUGAAUCUGCACAUCAGCACUCUAGUGAUGCGCGUC